rnacentral:rRNA from 1 species
UACGUAGGGUGCAAGCGUUAUCCGGAAUUAUUGGGCGUAAAGAGCGUGUAGGCGGCCCGAUAAGUCCGCUGUGAAAGUCCAGGGCUCAACCCUGGAAUGCCGGUGGAUACUGUCGGGCUCGAAUCCGGAAGAGGUGAGUGGAAUUCCUGGUGUAGCGGUGAAAUGCGCAGAUAUCAGGAGGAACACCGGUGGCGAAGGCGGGUCUCUGGGCCGAUACUGACGCUGAGGAGCGAAAGCGUGGGGAGCGAACAGG